rnacentral:tRNA from 1 species
CGCGGGAUGGAGCAGUCUGGUAGCUCGUCGGGCUCAUAACCCGAAGGUCGGAGGUUCGAAUCCUGCCCCCGCAA